rnacentral:lncRNA from 1 species
GGCUUUCCCAUGUCUCCUGAUAGAAUCGCGUCCUUUUCUAACAUCGGUUGGGCCGCCUCACCAGGUUUAGGGUUUUUGUGUCUUCUUGUUCUUUCUCUUCGCCUCCACUCCCAGCAACGCCAUGACUGCCCAAACGCAGGAGGAGCUCCUCGCCGCCCACCUUGAGCAGCAGAAGAUCGACGUGAGCCUCUCUUCUCCAAUUUUUUAUUUUCCUUAUUUCUUGUCAUCUACGUCACUUCCUCCCUUGUUUAUCAUUUGUAUCGACUAUAGUAGCAGAAACAUGACAUGGAUUUGUUGAAUGGGAUGGAAAUACAGGAGUAGCACUUUUUUUGGCCUAGCAUUCGGCUGUUUUACUUUUUUCUCAUUAUGACGAUCUUCGGACAAAGAUUUAAUUCGAUUGAUCGAUUACUGUCUACCGCGAAGCAAAUCGGUUUAGCCGUAGUUUACUGGCUCUAUAAUAUGGAUGAGUAGACGGUAAUUUUCCAAAGUUUUGGAGGGAGUGAACGUAAACGUUUCUUGUGUUCUUGAUUCGCGUCAUUAGCGUAGAUUUUUCUGAAGGCAGAGUAUUUCACCUCCAGAAAAAACUAUUUGCUCCUUUCACUUGAGUUAAGGGUUAAGUCCGUCAACGUGCGUCGUGGGUUUUCGCUUUUCCUUGAAUUCUAAACAUACUUUCCUUCGUUGCUGUCUUUGAAUUGUUGAUCACGGCGUAGCGUGCUAUUAUUUUCUCUCUCUGAGUAUUACGAUUGAAAGUAAAUGAAAUGUCUGUUUCGAAGUUCUUUGCCUAAACUUUGGAGUUAUAUGCUUGACAAGCCCGUGAACUCCCAUUUAUUUUUUAUUCUGUGUUUAAAAUUUUUUAAUUCCUUUCAUGUUUAGUACAUUUUCAAGUUCCUGCUUUUCCUUUCACAGCAUUGUAAAACCCUUCGCACGCCAGUUCUCUCCUUCUCGUUCUCUAAUUAUCUUUCGACCCCUCUGACAUCCUCUUUGAACCAAUGAUAUCUUUUCGCUUUUUAUCCCUUCUCUAAUUAGCCAAUGCUAUUUUAUAGAAAUUGGAUCCUUUUCUUAUGCAUUUGAAUUGUCAUUUGCUAACUUAUAAGGUUCAUAUUGAGGCAGUGCCCGUGUUUUUGGCAUUCUUGUCAUAGAAACUCCCCUCUAACAGCUUCGGAACUAGAGAAUGGCUUAAUGCCUACUGAUUAUACGUACAUUUAUAAAUGCCAAAGGUUUGGCUGAUGUCAUUUGCGCGUCUCUUUGUAUACCUAAGCAGCCUAGGAACAUUUUGUGGCGAUAUUUCAGAGUUCUACCUUGCCGUUUGCCCAGCUACUCGACAACUUUUUGAUAGACAAAUAUAUUUGACACAGUUUUGUUGCUCAUGGCCCCUUUUGGGUUUAUGUCGUGUUAGUGAUUAUAUUGAAUUAUUUUGGUACUGCUAAUUAGUCUGUUUAUGUGAAUUUCUUGCACUCGGAACAUUGAGGAAAAUAUAUUUUUAUUACCCUUGAUAUUUCGAAGAAGAAGCAAAUGACAUGGGGUUUCACUUUUUGACAGGCCCUUAAAAGUUAAAGAUACACCAUAUAUCCCGAAAAUCUACACCCGUUGCUGAAAUCAGUCGGCAGUAUGAAUUUGAAUAUGAAUGUGUAUAUUCUCAUGGGGCCUUACCGAAAAUUUUAAUUUCUUAGAGAAUCGUCACUUAAUUUGGUUGUGCAGAGGGUUUCAUGUUUCUUUCUCAAAACUUAUGAGUGUCUUUUGAUGAUAAUCGAAACGCCUUUGACAGACCCUUUUGUAUCUCAUUUAUAACCAAGAAGAAACAAAAGGCAUUCAAUUGUGAAGCGUUAAAUGAACAUGUCAGACAUGACGCAUACCAAGCAACGAGAAUACCAGUUUGGUUUAGACUUAAGCAAAAAGAUGAUUAAAAAUACCUUAUCUGAGGUCAAUGAUGAAAUAGAUUGGUGAUCUCAGAAAAAUUAACUUUACGUUGCCAUUUUGAAAUUAUUUUUACGUUGAAUUGUUCCAAAUUGUCUGAAUAUUUUAGAGUUCAUACUGAGAUUUUUUGUUAUUCAAAUUGAAAAAUAAAAAUUUGAUCUGUUCCUAUGCCUGUGAUCUCUUGGAUUUCUUAAAUGCAUGUGCAAUUUAUUUCAGAACCUCAAUCACAUUAGCUCAUCUAUCCUGCUUGCUUUUCAAGAGGGUAUUAUGGUGGAAACAAGACUUUAUUUAAUCUCUCUCUCUCUCUCUCACACACACACACACACACACACACACA